UGGGGAAUAUUGGACAAUGGGCGAAAGCCUGAUCCAGCAAUGCCGCGUGAGUGAUGAAGGCCUUAGGGUUGUAAAGCUCUUUUACCAGGGAUGAUAAUGACAGUACCUGGAGAAUAAGCUCCGGCUAACUCCGUGCCAGCAGCCGCGGUAAUACGGAGGGAGCUAGCGUUGUUCGGAAUUACUGGGCGUAAAGAGCACGUAGGCGGCCUUUUAAGUCAGGGGUGAAAUCCCGGGGCUCAACCCCGGAAC
rnacentral:rRNA from 1 species